CUUUUACAAUGAAGAGUUUGAUCCUGGCUCAGGAUGAACGCUAGCUACAGGCUUAACACAUGCAAGUCGAGGGGCAUCAGGGUGUAGCAAUACACCGCUGGCGACCGGCGCACGGGUGAGUAACACGUAUCCAACCUGCCCUUUACUCGGGGAUAGCCUUUCGAAAGAAAGAUUAAUACCCGAUGGUAUAACAUGACCUCCUGGUUUUGUUAUUAAAGAAUUUCGGUAGAGGAUGGGGAUGCGUUCCAUUAGGCAGUUGGCGGGGUAACGGCCCACCAAACCUUCGAUGGAUAGGGGUUCUGAGAGGAAGGUCCCCCACAUUGGAACUGAGACACGGUCCAAACUCCUACGGGAGGCAGCAGUGAGGAAUAUUGGUCAAUGGGCGAGAGCCUGAACCAGCCAAGUAGCGUGAAGGAUGACCGCCCUAUGGGUUGUAAACUUCUUUUAUAUGGGAAUAAAGGGUGCCACGUGUGGCAUUUUGUAUGUACCAUAUGAAUAAGGAUCGGCUAACUCCGUGCCAGCAGCCGCGGUAAUACGGAGGAUCCGAGCGUUAUCCGGAUUUAUUGGGUUUAAAGGGAGCGUAGGUGGACAUGUAAGUCAGUUGUGAAAGUUUGCGGCUCAACCGUAAAAUUGCAGUUGAUACUGCGUGUCUUGAGUACAGUAGAGGUGGGCGGAAUUCGUGGUGUAGCGGUGAAAUGCUUAGAUAUCACGAAGAACUCCGAUUGCGAAGGCAGCUCACUGGACUGCAACUGACACUGAUGCUCGAAAGUGUGGGUAUCAAACAGGAUUAGAUACCCUGGUAGUCCACACAGUAAACGAUGAAUACUCGCUGUUUGCGAUAUACAGUAAGCGGCCAAGCGAAAGCAUUAAGUAUUCCACCUGGGGAGUACGCCGGCAACGGUGAAACUCAAAGGAAUUGACGGGGGCCCGCACAAGCGGAGGAACAUGUGGUUUAAUUCGAUGAUACGCGAGGAACCUUACCCGGGCUUAAAUUGCAAAUGAAUAUGCCGGAAACGGCAUAGCCGCAAGGCAUUUGUGAAGGUGCUGCAUGGUUGUCGUCAGCUCGUGCCGUGAGGUGUCGGCUUAAGUGCCAUAACGAGCGCAACCCUUAUCUUCAGUUACUAACAGGUCAUGCUGAGGACUCUGGAGAGACUGCCGUCGUAAGAUGUGAGGAAGGUGGGGAUGACGUCAAAUCAGCACGGCCCUUACGUCCGGGGCUACACACGUGUUACAAUGGGGGGUACAGAAGGCCGCUACACAGCGAUGUGAUGCCAAUCCCUAAAGCCCCUCUCAGUUCGGAUCGAAGUCUGCAACCCGACUUCGUGAAGCUGGAUUCGCUAGUAAUCGCGCAUCAGCCACGGCGCGGUGAAUACGUUCCCGGGCCUUGUACACACCGCCCGUCAAGCCAUGGGAGCCGGGGGUACCUGAAGUACGUAACCGCAAGGAGCGUCCUAGGGUAAAACUGGUGACUGGGGCUAAGUCGUAACAAGGUAGCCGUACCGGAAGGUGCGGCUGGAACACCUCCUUU
rnacentral:rRNA from 1 species